rnacentral:rRNA from 1 species
AAUAGAUACCCGGGUAGUCCACGCCGUAAACGAUGUCGACUUGGAGGUUGUUCCCUUGAGGAGUGGCUUCCGGAGCUAACGCGUUAAGUCGACCGCCUGGGGAGUACGGCCGCAAGGUUAAAACUCAAAUGAAUUGACGGGGGGCCCGCACAAGCGGUGGAGCAUGUGGUUUAAUUCGAUGCAACGCGAAGAACCUUACCUACUCUUGACAUCCACGGAACUUUUCAGAGAUGAAUUGGUGCCUUCGGGAACCGUGAGACAGGUGCUGCAUGGCUGUCGUCAGCUCGUGUUGUGAAUGUUGGGUUAAGUCCGCAACGAGCGCAACCCUUAUCCUUUGUUGCCAGCGGUUAGGCCGGGAACUCAAAGGAGACUGCCAGUGAUAAACUAGGAGGAAGGUGGGGAGUGACGUCAAGUCAUCAUGGCCCUUACGAGUAGGGCUACACACGUGCUACAAUGGCGCAUACAAAGAGAAGCGACCUCGCGAGAGCAAGCGGACCUCAUAAAGUGCGUCGUAGUCCGGAUUGGAGUCUGCAACUCGACU